rnacentral:lncRNA from 1 species
UCUGCUUAUUCAAAAUGGCUUCGCAAAAUAUUGCUGCCCCAAAGUUAUAUGAUUUUUUAUUCAAUUUUAAGUGACCACGAACGGCUUCUUCAAUACCUACGAGAUCUAAAAAUAAUAGAUGGUAUCAGAAACUGUCAACAAUGCUCCAAAACGAUGAAAUUAUCGAAGAAUCAUGCAAAAGUGGAUAAACAGGAAUGGCGAUGUGACUACUGCCUACGUGUAGAGUCGAUCAGAAUAAAUUCAAUUUUUGAGAAGUCAAAAUUGUCCUUAAGAAUGCAGAUGGAGAUUCUAUACUUCUUUGCCACGGACAUUCAAGUAUUCGAAGUGGAGAAAUUCACGGAUAUAAGUCACGUUACUGUCAUUGAAUGGUACAAAAAACUUAGACAACUUUGUAAACUAUUCCUAGAAAAAGAUCCAAUUUCACUAGGAAAUGCAGAGGGCAGCGUAGUGGAGAUAGACGAGAGUCUCUUUGGGAAAAAAAAGGAAAUAUAAUAAAGGGACCGGCAAACAGGACACAUGGGUUUUCGGUAUGAAGGAGAAAGGGACACGAAAAGUACUCUUCCAAAUAGUGGAAAAAAGAAAUAAAGAAACAUUGAUACCAAUCGUUAAAACUUCGGUUACGGAAGGAUGUACAAUUUACUCGGACUGUUGGAAAGCGUAUUACUCACUGGAAAAGGAAGGAUAUAACCAUACAACCGUCAAUCACAGUAAACAGUUCAAAUCGGAAGACGGAACAUGCACUAAUGGAAUAGAAGGUGUAUGGGGUCUAGUUAAACUCAAAAUCAAAUCAAUGAAAGGAAUCCUACACGAUAAAAUUGACUCCAUACUGCAAGAAUUUUCGUACCGCCACAGGUACGGCAUGCCUAAUGGAGAUAUUUACCAUAUCCUUAUGAAUGAUAUCUCAAAACUCAAUUACGAACAAUUAUAAAUACAAAUAAAAUUCAGAACAUGACAACACUAUCAGUCAUAUUUUCAUCCUGUCGGCCUGUUGGGGAUCAUCUGGCUCAUCUUGUCAAAGUGUAAACCUGUCAACCUGUCGACCUGUCAACCUGUCGACCUGUCAACCUGUCAACCUGUCGACCUGUCAACCUGUCGACCUGUCGACCUGUCAACCUGUCGACCUGUCAACCCGUCAACCUGACCACACAAUCAGUCAUAUUUUCAUCCUAUCGGCCUGUCGUGGAUCAUCUUGUCUACCUGUCUACAUGUCAACCUGUCGACCUGUCAACCUGUCAACCUGUCGACCUGUCAACCUGUCGAC